rnacentral:rRNA from 1 species
UUGCUCUUCAACGAGGAAUUCCUAGUAAGCGCAAGUCAUCAGCUUGCGUUGAUUACGUCCCUGCCCUUUGUACACACCGCCCGUCGCUACUACCGAUUGAAUGGCUUAGUGAGGCUUUCGGACUGGCCUGCGGAGGUUGGAAACGACCACCGUGGGCCGGAAAGUUAGUCAAACUUGGUCAUUUAGAGGAAGUAAAAGUCGUAACAAGGUUUCCGUAGGUGAACCUGCGGAAGGAUCAUUAUAGUAUAUGGAAUUUAUCAAUUCUAUACACCCCACCUGUGUAUCUUGCAACUGUUGCUUCCAUGGGACCUGGAACAAGCUUCCACAUCGGCCCUGACGGCUGGUGAGCGCCCAUGGGAGGAGUCAUGAAAACUCUUCUUUGAAGUGUAGUUAGUCUGAUAAUGUUAUAAUAAACGUUAAAACUUUCAACAACGGAUCUCUUGGUUCUCGCAUCGAUGAAGAACGCAGCGAAAUGCGAUAAGUAGUGUGAAUUGCAGAAUUCAGUGAAUCAUCGAAUCUUUGAACGCACAUUGCGCCUUCUGGUAUUCCGGGAGGCAUGCCUGUUCGAGCGUCAUCAAAAACCCUCAAUCUCUGAUUUUUACAGUCAAAGGUUGGUCUUGCCUUGGAGGCUUCGGCUUCCUCUGCGAAAUCAAAUGGCGAAAAGCCACGCAUCCAGAGCGUAGUAAAUUACACCUCGCAAUGGGAACGUGAGCGCUUUGGCCCCAAACCCCCAAUAUUCCAAGUUUUUGACCUCGGAUCAGGUAGGGAUACCCGCUGAACUUAAGCAUAUCAAUAAGCGGAGGA